AUUGAACGCUGGCGGUACGCUUAACACAUGCAAGUCGAACGGUAGCAGAAGCUAGCUUGCUAGCUUGCUGACGAGUGGCGGACGGGUGAGUAACGCGUAGGAAUUUAUCCUUAAGUGGGGGACAACCCGGGGAAACUCGGGCUAAUACCGCAUACUCCCUACGGGGAAAAGCUGGGGACCUUCGGGCCUGGCGCUUUUGGAGAAGCCUGCGUCGGAUUAGCUUGUUGGUAGGGUAAUGGCCUACCAAGGCGACGAUCCGUAGCUGGUCUGAGAGGAUGAUCAGCCACACUGGGACUGAGAUACGGCCCAG
rnacentral:rRNA from 1 species